rnacentral:rRNA from 1 species
UGGGGAAUAUUGGACAAUGGGCGAAAGCCUGAUCCAGCCAUGCCGCGUGCGUGAAGAAGGUCUUCGGAUUGUAAAGCACUUUAAGUUGGGAGGAAGGGCAGUAAGCGAAUACCUUGCUGUUUUGACGUUACCGACAGAAUAAGCACCGGCUAACUCUGUGCCAGCAGCCGCGCUAAUACAGAGGGUGCAAGCGUUAAUCGGAAUUACUGGGCGUAAAGCGCGCGUAGGUGGUUCGUUAAGUUGAAUGUGAAAGGCCCGGGCUCAACCUGGGAACAGCAUCCAAAACUGGCGGGAUAGAGUAGGGCAGAGGGUGGUGGAAUGUCCGGUGUAGCGGUGAAAUGCGUAGAUAUAGGAAGAAACACCAGUGGCGAAGGCGACAACCUAGGCUCAUACUGACACUGAGGUGCGAAAGCGUGGGGAGCAAACAGG